AUUUCCCCAAAAACCAAAACAUCCCACCAAAUCUUCCCAUAUCUUCAAUUUCAACAGCACUAGCCCCAAAAAUUUAUAGAAAAUUUAUAGAAAGUGAAAUAACCUCUAUCUUAGCACGUACUCAUCAAGUUCCCUGCUUAGCCACGAGUCACGGAGUCACCGAGACGGAGUUCUUCUCGGCGGCAAGUCGGCGACCUGACAGAGUGACGGUGUUUAGGGGGUGCUCACUGUUCAGUGUUCUCGGGUUCCAACUCCUCCAAGGCUCCAAUUAAGGAGAUCAUGGUGUCAAAGAAUCGCGAGUGGAUGCAAUACAAAAAAAGUGUCCCUAGGUACAAGAUUGGUGUAAAAGAGUUUCUAGAAUUUGCUUUUUCACAAAAGAAUGCCAAAGCUGUAGUGCCUUGCCCAUGUGUUAAAUGCAACAAUGAAAGAAGAAAAUGUAGAGACGAAAUAGAGUUAGAUUUGCUUAAAUUUGGGAUUGUUAAGAGUUAUACACGUUGGUUGCGACAUGGAGAACGGGUUGAUGAUUCAACAAUUCUUGAUAAUAUUAUAGAUGAGUCAAAUGAAUACCCAUUGCAUGAGCAUGAUGUCAUGUCUGAUAUGCUACAUGAUGCCUCUGGAGUACAAUCUGACAAUGUCGUGGGGGACAAGACAAUUGGUGUGAGUGAAAGCAAAGAUCCUCCGGAAGCAACAAAAAACUUUUACAAACUAAUGGUUGAUCUUGAGUUAGAGUUGUAUCCUAGCUGUAAGCAAUUCUCAAAACUGUCUUUCUUGCUUAAGUUAUUCCACAUAAAAUGCUUAGGUGGAAUAAGUGAUAAAAGCUUGUCUAUGAUUCUUGAUCUACUUAAAGAAGCAUUGCCUUCUGCCAAAAUCUUUUUAUGAUGCUCAAAAGAUGAUAAAGAGCCUUUCCCUUGAGUCUAUCAAAAUUGAUGCUUGUCCUAAUAAUUGUAUGCUAUUCUGAAGGAUCAUGCUAAUGCUGAUGAAUGUGUAAAGUGUCAUGCUUCUAGAUGGAAAAUUGAUGAACGUAAUAAUGAAUCUUCAACGUCACAAUGUAAGCCUAGAAGGACUCCUAGAAAGACAAUGCGUUAUUUUCCUUUGAUUCCCAGGCUUCAAAGAAUGUAUAUGUCAUCUAAAACUGCAGCAAGUAUGAGAUGGCAUAGUGAUGAGCGUGUUGAUGAUCCUGAUGGUAUAAUGAGACAUCCAGCGGACUCUAAAGCGUGGAAAUUUUUUGAUGAAAAAUAUCUUUCAUUUGCCUCCGAACCUCGAAAUGUUCGCCUUGGGUUAGCAAGUGACGGGUUUAGUCCCUUUAGAAAUGGUCAUAUUGCUCAUAGUACAUGGCCGGUAGUUCUUAUACCAUAUAAUUUACCUCCAUGGCUUUGUAUGAAGCAACAUUCUUUCAUUCUUUCAAUGCUUAUACCAGGUCCUAAGAGGCCGAAAGAUAAGAUUGAUGUUUAUUUGCAACCUUUAAUAGAGGAGCUAAUUUACUUUGGGAAGUUGGUGUUGAAACAUAUGAUGCUUCAAAGAAAGAGAACUUUAAAAUGCAUGCAUCUUUGUUAUGGACUAUAAGUGAUUAUCCUGCCUAUGGUGAUUUAUCAGGUUGGAAAACGGGAGGAGCUGUUGGUUGUCCGUCUUGUAAUAGCGAUACUAGUUCGGAGUGGUUACCAAAUGAAAAUAAACAUUGUUAUAUGUGUCACCAUAGAUUCUUACCUUUAGAUCAUAAAUGGAGAUAUGAUGGAAGAACCUUUGAUGGGAAACAAGAGCUGAGACCUGCACCUAGACCAUUAUCCGGUGAGGAAGUGUUACAGCAAAUUGAUGCUGAACAAGCUGAAUGUAAUAAGAAAAAGAGAAAGCGUGAUAAGAAAAAGACAAAACAAAAGAAAUUAUGGCGAAAGAAGAGCAUUUUUUUUGAAUUGCCAUAUUGGAGUAGUCUUUUGAUACGUCAUAAUUUGGAUGUAAAGCAUAUAGAAAAAAAUGUGUGUGAAACUUUACUUAGUACACUAUUGGAUAUUGAAGGAAAAACUAAGGACAAUAUGAGUGCACGUCUUGAUCUAGUUGAAAUGAAAAUUAGAAAGUCAUUGCACCCUAUAACACAUCCUGAUAAAUCAAAAGAGCUACCUCCAGCUCCUCGUGCAUUAUCUUUGGAACAAAAGAGAGUUUUUGUAAUUUUUUGACUAGUGUGAAGUUUCCAGAUGGCUAUGCUUCAAAUAUUUCAAAAAAUUCCCUCCUUAAAGAACGUAAACUCUCUGGAUUAAAAAGCCAUGAUUAUCAUGUUAUUAUGGAGCAUCUAUUGCCUCUUGCUAUACGUGGUUGGCCUAAAUCAUUGUCUUCUCCACUUGUUCAGUUGAGCACCUUUUUCAAAGAGUUAUGUUCUAAGGAUUUAAAGAUUGAUGAGUUAGAGAAACUCGAAAAACAAAUUGGGGUUACCCUAUGUGAGCUAGAAAGAAUUUUUCCUCCUUCCUUUUUUGUGAUCAUGCUACAGUUACCCAUUCACCUUGCAAGUGAAGCUUUGAUUGCGGGACCAGUUCAUUAUCGUUAAGGUAUCUUGGAAAAUUAAAAGGGUAUGUACGCAAUAAAGGUCACCCUGAAGGAUCAAUAGCAUAAGGGUAUCUCUUAGAGGAAUGCUUGACAUUUUGUUCAAGAUAUAUGGAGGAUAUUGAGACAAAAUUUAACAAACAAGAUAGAAUUUAUGAUGAUCGUGAAAUUUUUCCAAUUGAUAUCCUACCUAUAUUUGAGACAAGAGGUAGAGCAUUCGGGAAGGAAUGUCCUCGUUUACUUACUACAAAGGAAUGGGAAGAAAUUCACUUUUAUGUUCUGAAUAAUUGUGACGAAGUACUACCAUUUAUUGAGUGACAAUUUUAUCAAAGGAUAACCAUCCAAGUGCUACUACUAACUUAAGAGCAUUAGCACAAGGUCCAGAUCGUGCAGUGAUUUCUGUAAACGGCUACAUGGUUAAUGGAUUUAUGUUUCGUGCAAAGGAUAGUGAAAGGGGAAGAGAAACUCAAAAUAGUGGGAUCGUUGUGAAUGGAGAAACUGGAUCAUCAACCCUUGAUUAUUACGGCCUCUUACAAGAAAUCAUAGAAGUUCAAUACCUUGGAGGAAAUCGCGUCACUUUGUUUAAGUGUGACUGGUGGGAUGUGCAUAGUCAUGGUCGAGGGAUCAAUAGCGAUUGUUUUAACUUCAUAAGCGUUAUUACAUCAAAGUUGUUAGCUAAUGAUCCUUACAUUUUAGCUACACAAGCUCACCAAGUAUUUUAUGUCAAUGAUGUUUUGAAGCCAAAUUGGAAGGUUAUAGUUAAGACCACACCAAGAAACUCCUAUGAUGUUCCGGAGCUCAAUGAUCAUGAUGAAACUAAUUAUAUAGAUACUAUAUAUCUAUGACCCUUUAUUAUUAUUAUCUUUUUCUUUUAAUAUAAUUGUAAAACUAUUGCGGUCUAAAUAUAGGUUCCUAGCUACUUUAUAUGUGAUGUUAUUUUUUUAAUACAAUGAUUUGAGAGGAGUCCAUCAAUUAUUCCAAGUAAUUACAGAAUGGAAUGGACCAUAAGAGAUUGUCUCAAUAAAAUUAUUAUUGCCGUAAUAAGAGUUUUAUAUGAGUAGUAAUUUAUAGAACUUUCGCAGCUUUCUUAUUGUAUGUGCUAGUAGCUAUGGAGUAGUUGAUAGUCUUGCCUUAUUUUUCUACUCUUAAUAUUAAUUUAGAUACAUAUUAAAUUCAUUGUAGGAAUACCAAAAGUAUAUUGUAAAUACAUUGAAAAAAUAAAAUAUAGAGGCAGAUAUAGAUACAAGGGUAUAAUUUUGGGGACAUGGAUACCAUUAGAAGUAGUGCCUGACUUGGUGUGCCUCCUUUUUUCACUUGUAGAGGUUAGAUAGUUGACAAUUGAUUUGCAAAAAAAAAAAAAAAAAAAAAAAAAAAAAAAAAAAAAAA